GGAAUCGUCAGGACAACAGUGAACACCAAGUGCUGUAGCACUGAUCUCUGCAACAGUCAAAGCACUCCUGCAUUGGCACAAAAUUCCCCAAAUGGGAAACAGUGCUUCAGCUGUGACCUCAAUAAUGACUGCACGUCAGUUAUUAACUGUCUGGGAAAUGAAAACAAUUGCAUCAAUGCUACAGUUUCACAGCGGACCAUG